CAGUAUCAUUAUGGCUGGUGGCUCCCAGAUACACCAGCAUGUGAAUCAGAGGAAACUAACAGAGUAAGGUCAAGACAGAGAAUGAGCUGAGCAGAGUGGAUGGCCGGAGGAGAACCGGGGUUGAGAGACGAGGAGCAGUGGGCGAGUCCAAAGCGGAGGGUGAGCUGUGGCUCCGAAGUCACAAACGCCCCGACUGACAGCGUUAGUAGGCAGGAACUUUGAUCAAAGGAUUGACGAUGGUAAACGACAAAGAAAGAAGCGGAUCCGAGGUUCAGAUGAAGUAAUGUUCACAGGGGACAUGGCUGGUGAGAAAGUAAUGAACACAUUGUUGUCACCUGUAAUGCGUAACAAGCCUAUUAUAAGUAAAGUUAACACAACUUAUCUUCAAAUCACAGUCCUCAGUUUUUAUGCCAUUGAACAGUGACGGAUAUGGGAGGUCACUUUAGCUUUGCUUUUCACUGUGUUCUAUUUAAGCAUGCAUGUGUGCC